GGCAGGCCCAAGGGCGGGGGGCAGCAGUUUCUUCCCCCCCCCCUCCGCCUCAGUGGACUUCCGCCGACGGGACGGAGGCUGAGGCCCUCGACGCCCGUGGCACGUGAGCGUGCGGCCCGGUCCUGGCCGAGCCGUUGGCGGCGGCAGCAGCGUCCUUUCCACCUGCCGCUUCCCCCCCGGCAGGGACGGGCCGUGAGGGAGGCCGAGACGAGGAGGACGGAUGGCGGCAGUGGGGGCACAAGAUUAAAUAAAAGGAUGCCCAGUUAGCCUGGGACCAGACCUGAGCACAUGGCAGCAAGGGCCCAGGCCAAGCAGAGGUACAACCUGAUCCUCAUCCCUUCCAUCCCACUGGAACACUGUGGAAGCUGGAAGCUGGCUUCUCUGCCAACAGUGGGACAGCCCAAGGAUGGAGCCAGUUCCCCUGAGGGUGGAGCGAAGAAAAAAGAGGUGGAGCUUGCUCUCCCACGAUCCGGCCGUUUCCCCAAGAAAGCGUUCGGGCAGCCUGCCAGUCACAGGGCCGAAGCGCGUGCUGUCUGACUCCUGCCCGCCGGGUCAUCUGCUUGACCCCGGCAGCGAUCUUGAACCUCAGUGGCUGUAAAUAUUACUUUGUUUUCCCUUUUAA